AGACCAAUCCCCAGCAGUUCACUAUGGUAACUGAAACAACUGAAAAUAACUACCAAGUGGGCUUGCCUUUCAGGAUGCUAAAACUUUCUAGAGCUCCGUAGAGCUAGGGCCAAUAAUAUCAGCCUCCAACGUUGAUGAAAAUGCUUGCUGACACCCACCUGGCACAAGCACAUUCAUGCCUAGCCAGCUGGACUGUAUCAAGAGGACAAGCUGAAGCACCAGAAGGUGUGCCAGCAUGGAGAUUUGUUAUAAUUUCAGAAGGCAUUUCAAAACAACUUCCAGGAUGAUUGAUUGUACAUAUAGAACCUGAAACCUCCUAGACCACCUCAGCUUGUCACGUCAAGUCACCUUGUCCUUGCUGCUACUUGGAAGCACGCAAAGUUUAGUCACCGUGCGGAUGUUCAGAGUUUCAUGGUUGAAUGUUGGAACCAACUUUUAAAUUCAUUUGAUUUCACACUUGUUUUCAUCGUCUUUU
rnacentral:sRNA from 1 species